rnacentral:rRNA from 1 species
CGGAGGGUGCAAGCGUUAUCCGGAUUCACUGGGUUUAAAGGGUGCGUAGGUGGAUUGGUAAGUCAGUGGUGAAAUCUCCGGGCUUAACUCGGAAACUGCCAUUGAUACUAUCAGUCUUGAAUACCGUGGAGGCCAGUAGAAUAUGUCAUGUAGCGGUGAAAUGCUUAGAUAUGACAUAGAAUACCAAUUGCGAAGGCAGCUGGCUACGCGAAUAUUGACACUCAGGCACGAAAGCGUGGGGAUCAAACAGGAUUAGAUACCCUGGUAGUCCACGCCCUAAACUAUGGAUACUCGACAUACGCGAUACACUGUGUGUGUCUGAGCGAACGCAUUAAGUAUCCCACCUGGGAAGUACGAUCGCAAGAUUG